rnacentral:rRNA from 1 species
GGAAUUGACGGGGGCCCGCACAAGCGGUGGAGCAUGUGGUUUAAUUCGAAGCAACGCGAAGAACCUUACCAGGUCUUGACAUCCUUUGACCACUCUAGAGAUAGAGCUUUCCCUUCGGGGACAAAGUGACAGGUGGUGCAUGGUUGUCGUCAGCUCGUGUCGUGAGAUGUUGGGUUAAGUCCCGCAACGAGCGCAACCCUUAUUGUUAGUUGCCAUCAUUUAGUUGGGCACUCUAGCGAGACUGCCGGUGACAAACCGGAGGAAGGUGGGGAUGACGUCAAAUCAUCAUGCCCCUUAUGACCUGGGCUACACACGUGCUACAAUGGGAAGUACAACGAGUCGCUAGACCGCGAGGUCAUGCAAAUCUCUUAAAGCUUCUCUCAGUUCGGAUUGCAGGCUGCAACUCGCCUGCAUGAAGCCGGAAUCGCUAGUAAUCGCGGAUCAGCACGCCGCGGUGAAUACGUUCCCGGGCCUUGUACACACCGCCCGUCACACCACGAGAGUUU